AGUGAACGCUGGCGGUAGGCCUAACACAUGCAAGUCGAACGGCAGCACAGUAAGAGCUUGCUCUUACGGGUGGCGCGUGGCGGACGGGUGCGGAAUACAUCGGAAUCUACUUUUUCGUGGGGGAUAACGUAGGGAAACUUACGCUAAUACCGCAUACGACCUACGGGUGAAAGCAGGGGAUCUUCGGACCUUGCGCGAUUGAAUGAGCCGAUGUCGGAUUAGCUAGUUGGCGGGGUAAAGGCCCACCAAGGCGACGAUCCGUAGCUGGUCUGAGAGGAUGAUCAGCCACACUGGAACUGAGACACGGUCCAGACUCCUACGGGAGGCAGCAGUGGGGAAUAUUGGACAAUGGGCGCAAGCCUGAUCCAGCCAUACCGCGUGGGUGAAGAAGGCCUUCGGGUUGUAAAGCCCUUUUGUUGGGAAAGAAAAGCAGCAGGUUAAUACCCCGCUGUUCUGACGGUACCCAAAGAAUAAGCACCGGCUAACUUCGUG
rnacentral:rRNA from 1 species